CUUGCCAAAAGUUGUCCUUAUCUUCUCGAGUUUGAAUUGAAUUACUUUGAAAAACUUGAAUGAAAUAGACAGAGGGUGAAAGCAUGCAUCAAAAAGCAAAGAAAUGAAGAGCGUUUGAGCUGCACUCCUCACCCUGUAGCUGUUCUCGUAGUUGUUACAGUGCUUGGUGAAGGGCGUCUCCCGGCCCUCGGCCAGCAGGACCUUGGUGCAGAUGUUGCGGUGAGACGUUGGCCUCCGCCCCAACACCGAGCCCAGCGGCAUCUCGCUGAGAGACAGCGAGCGGCAAGACAUGGAGAGAGGCGACUGCAGCCUGGAGGGCGGAACACCAUCUCUAUGUCGACGUAUUGAACAAAUGGCGUUGUCCCGCUCGCCCACCACGGGUCACGCCCACCGCAAGUCAGAAAGCAGAAGACACAAACCGUGCUGGAUAUCAGAAAGCAGCGAGCUACCCUCUUUUCUAAUCCCAACUCAGCGUUGAGCAUGACUUAAGAGUGUCAGUAUUAAGCCUGCAACCCCGCUUUGUGCAAAACAGGCUCAUUGCAGCCACUAAUACUGUGAUAAAACUCUUUUUUUUUAGCAAGGUAGCUGUUCAUCUUUUUACCAACGGGCUGCAUUUUCUUUCAUUUUUUGCAGAGAUUGUAAAGUGAAUUCACAAGUGAGUUUUUGUCACACCGCGGUGAGGGAUGUCUUGUCUUGGUUUCUUUUGUCUUGUGAUUUGCAUGUUUUUAUUUUGAAAAGUAACUCUUGUUUCAGAUCACUUGCCCUUCCUCUUGUGUCAUCAGUCUGAUGUCAUCCCUGAUCCCUGAUUGUCGCCACCUGUUUCCCAUUACCCUCAUGUGUCACAUAAGCCCACGCCUCCCCUUGUUCUCUCCCCGAUUGUCUCAAGUUUUCGUGCCUGUCUCGCUUCCAUGUCCAUGUCCAUGCCUUGCCUCGUCCCACGCUUUUUUUCCUGGAUCCUGAAUUCCCACGCUGCUAUUUUGAGUUUGACUUUUCUCCUCCUCAGUAGAGUGAAUUUUGAUAUUUAGUUUUUUCAACCAAAGUGGUGAGUUAUUUUUUUCCUACAAUUCUUUCCUCAAAUUUUUUGAGUGAUUUUUUUGUUAACCAUUAGUAGAUUAAUAUUAAGUGUAGAAAUGCUCACAGUCAUAGUUUUCUUCCUCCUGUUGGAGCGUUUUAUGUUAAGUUUUAUAGCAGCUAUGGCGCAAAUUAUAGUUUGUCUUUGUUUUUGUAUUUUCCUCCUUUUAGGAGUGAUUCUGGGUUAUUCUUUUUUUUUGGAAACUUUUUCGCCGAUAGUUUUUGUUAUUUGUAGAUAUUGUAUUACUCUGACUCUGGAGGUGAAAGAGCCGUCAAAAUAAAAGCCCGACUAAGUAUCCCUACUCUGCAUCUGAGUUCAUUCCUUUGUCCAACCCUGACAGUUUUAUUUUUUUGAAAAAUAAAUAUUUAUGUUAUGCCAAUAAAUGUAAACUUGAUUAA